rnacentral:rRNA from 1 species
GGGGAAUAUUGCACAAUGGGCGCAAGCCUGAUGCAGCGACGCCGCGUGAGGGAUGACGGCCUUCGGGUUGUAAACCUCUUUCAAUAGGGACGAAGCGCAAGUGACGGUACCUAUAGAAGAAGGACCGGCCAACUACGUGCCAGCAGCCGCGGUAAUACGUAGGGUCCGAGCGUUGUCCGGAAUUACUGGGCGUAAAGAGCUCGUAGGUGGUUUGUCGCGUUGUUCGUGAAAACUCACAGCUUAACUGUGGGCGUGCGGGCGAUACGGGCAGACUAGAGUACUGCAGGGGAGACUGGAAUUCCUGGUGUAGCGGUGGAAUGCGCAGAUAUCAGGAGGAACACCGGUGGCGAAGGCGGGUCUCUGGGCAGUAACUGACGCUGAGGAGCGAAAGCGUGGGGAGCGAAC